CCUACGGGAGGCAGCAGUGGGGAAUAUUGCACAAUGGGCGAAAGCCUGAUGCAGCGACGCCGCGUGAGGGAUGACGGCCUUCGGGUUGUAAACCUCUUUCAGCAGGGAAGAAGCGAGGGUGACGGUACCUGCAGAAGGAGCGCCGGCUAACUACGUGCCAGCAGCCGCGGUAAUACGUAGGGCGCAAGCGUUGUCCGGAAUUAUUGGGCGUAAAGAGCUCGUAGGCGGCUUGUUGCGUCGGUUGUGAAAGCCCGGGGCUUAACCCCGGGUCUGCAGUCGAUACGGGCAGGCUAGAGUGUGGUAGGGGAGAUCGGAAUUCCUGGUGUAGCGGUGAAAUGCGCAGAUAUCAGGAGGAACACCGGUGGCGAAGGCGGAUCUCUGGGCCAUUACUGACGCUGAGGAGCGAAAGCGUGGGGAGCGAACAGGAUUAGAUACCCUGGUAGUCCACGCCGUAAACGUUGGGAACUAGGUGUUGGCGACAUUCCACGUCGUCGGUGCCGCAGCUAACGCAUUAAGUUCCCCGCCUGGGGAGUACGGCCGCAAGGCUAAAACUCAAAGGAAUUGACGG
rnacentral:rRNA from 1 species